AGGUAGGCAGGAGCCCCCCGUAGCUGAGCGAGGCAGCAUGGCAACCUGCGCGGAGGCUGCAUGCAGCGAUGUGAUGGGAGCUCAAGGAGGACAGCAGUUGUGAACGGGGAGAUGUAGAGAUCUGGCUGGGAUCUCGGGAUUUGCUUGGGCUGUCGCUGGAGUCAGCUAUGAAGGUGGAGGCAGCAAGCACGCUGGGCAGGAGGAGGACCUCGGGGAUGACAGUGGCCAGUUCAGCACGGCAAAGCAGGGAAGGGCUCAAGUGACUGGUAUCUGCAGGGAUGGAAAACCCUGACAGUGAGAUCUGCGGCCAAACUUGUUGCUCCAAGGUGUGCUGAGGAAGUUGGAAAGAGGCUCAGACUCAAGUGCUGAGGAGGGGAGAGUUGAUACCACAGCCUGAUCAAGGCGGGAGGCGAGGGGAGGUGAGGCCAGACUUCUCCGCUAAAGGAUGGGACAUGUGCGGAAUGGAUGGUGUCUUUGUAAAAUUUCAUCUCGUUCUGGAAAGGCUCAAGAGAAGGUCUGCCUGCCAGCCUUUUCCCUCUCCAGCCAGGACAGCCCUCCUCAACUGCGAAAGCCAAGGCAAGCUGAUCCCCGCCCUCCUGCGAGAUGCCUUCUGUGCCUCUUAAAUGCUUUUUCGGUUAUCCUUGUUUAAAAAAAAAAAAUAAAUAAUUAUUUGCAUAAUAAAGUGGAUUCUGAGG